rnacentral:rRNA from 1 species
GACGAACGCUGGCGGCGUGCUUAACACAUGCAAGUCGAACGGGCCUUGUCCCCUUUUUUUUUGGGGGUGGGGUGAGUGGCGAACGGGUGAGUAACACGUGAGUAACCUGCCCCUCACUUCUGGAUAACCGCUUGAAAGGGUGGCUAAUACGGGGUGUUCUGGCCUGCUCGCAUGGGUGGGUUUGGAAAGAUUCGACCGGUUUGGUUGUUUUGGUGGGGGAUGGGCGCGCGGCCUAUCAGCUUGUUGGUGGGGUGAUGGCCUGCCAAGGCUUUGACGGGUAGCCGGCCUGAGAGGGUGGGCGGUCACACUGGGACUGAGACACGGCCCAGACUCCUGCGAGAGGCAGCAGUGGGGAAUAUUGCACAAUGGGCGCAAGCCUGAUGCAGCGACGCCGCGUGAGGGAUGGAGGCCUUCGGGUUGGGAACCUCUUUCGCCAGUGAAGAAGGUCCUGCUCUUUGUGGUGGGGUUGACGGUAGCUGGGUUAAUGAAGCGCCGGCUAACUACGUG